rnacentral:rRNA from 1 species
UACGGAGGGGGCAAGCGUUGUUCGGAAUUACUGGGCGUAAAGGGCGCGCAGGCGGCUGCUCAAGUCAGGCGUGAAAGGCCUGGGCUCAACCCGGGAAUUGCGCUUGUGACUGGCGUGCUGGAGUGUGGCAGAGGGAGGUGGAAUUCCACGUGUAGCAGUGAAAUGCGCAGAUAUCAGGAAGAACACCCGUGGCGAAGGCGGUUCUCUGGGACGGUACUGACGCUGAGACGCGAAAGCGUGGGGAGCGAACAGG